ACAGUUGGAAACGACUGCUAAUACUCUAUACUCCUGCUUAACACAAGUUGAGUAGGGAAAGUUUUUCGGUGUAGGAUGAGACUAUAUAGUAUCAGCUAGUUGGUAAGGUAAUGGCUUACCAAGGCUAUGACGCUUAACUGGUCUGAGAGGAUGAUCAGUCACACUGGAACUGAGACACGGUCCAGACUCCUACGGGAGGCAGCAGUAGGGAAUAUUGCGCAAUGGGGGAAACCCUGACGCAGCAACGCCGCGUGGAGGAUGACACUUUUCGGAGCGUAAACUCCUUUUCUUAGGGAAGAAUUCUGACGGUACCUAAGGAAUAAGCACCGGCUAACUCCGUGCCAGCAGCCGCGGUAAUACGGAGGGUGCAAGCGUUACUCGGAAUCACUGGGCGUAAAGGGCGCGUAGGCGGAUUAUCAAGUCUCUUGUGAAAUCUAAUGGCUUAACCAUUAAACUGCUUGGGAAACUGAUAGUCUAGAGUGAGGGAGAGGCAGAUGGAAUUGGUGGUGUAGGGGUAAAAUCCGUAGAUAUCACCAAGAAUACCCAUUGCGAAGGCGAUCUGCUGGAACUCAACUGACGCUAAGGCGCGAAAGCGUGGGGAGCAAACAGGAUUAGAUACCCUGGUAGUCCACGCCCUAAACGAUGUACACUAGUUGUUGGGGUGCUAGUCAUCUCAGUAAUGCAGCUAACGCAUUAAGUGUACCGCCUGGGGAGUACGGUCGCAAGAUUAAAACUCAAAGGAAUAGACGGGGACCCGCACAAGCGGUGGAGCAUGUGGUUUAAUUCGAAGAUACGCGAAGAACCUUACCUGGGCUUGAUAUCCUAAGAACCUUUUAGAGAUAAGAGGGUGCUAGCUUGCUAGAACUUAGAGACAGGUGCUGCACGGCUGUCGUCAGCUCGUGUCGUGAGAUGUUGGGUUAAGUCCCGCAACGAGCGCAACCCACGUAUUUAGUUGCUAACGGUUCGGCCGAGCACUCUAAAUAGACUGCCUUCGUAAGGAGGAGGAAGGUGUGGACGACGUCAAGUCAUCAUGGCCCUUAUGCCCAGGGCGACACACGUGCUACAAUGGCAUAUACAAUGAGACGCAAUACCGCGAGGUGGAGCAAAUCUAUAAAAUAUGUCCCAGUUCGGAUUGUUCUCUGCAACUCGAGAGCAUGAAGCCGGAAUCGCUAGUAAUCGUAGAUCAGCCAUGCUACGGUGAAUACGUUCCCGGGUCUUGUACUCACCGCCCGUCACACCAUGGGAGUUGAUUUCACUCGAAGCCGGAAUACUAAACUAGUUACCGUCCACAGUGGAAUCAGCGACUGGGGUGA
rnacentral:rRNA from 1 species